AGGAGAAGUGUGAGACUGGUUGAGAAGGACACCUAGCUGGAAUAGCAUAUGACUGCACUAUCCUCUUCUAUCAUGUCUCUCUCAAGAUGUUGUGACUAAUGGAGGACGGAUGUUGAUCCGCUCGGCAUGGUGUUGGUCACUGGCACCAUUCUGGUCCAGAAAUCCGCCAUCACUCCUACCAGACCGGCACACGGCGAAGAGAAGGGCCAGGCGGCACCGGCGAGUGAGCUCGCACGCAACUCCUCUGUUCGGCCCUUUCCCUACAUCUUGGAUUGUGGGUCAUUGUGACAUCAGUCACGACGACGCCGGAGGCGGCGGCGGUGCAAGAGCAAAACCUUGUCUCCAACGCGGUGCCACCAGGAAGGUCAGCUAGAAGUUAGAAGUUACAAGUUAGAAGGGAGGCAUCUUUCUGUGCGUAGAGCAUCUUCCAGUGCAUGGGGCGGCUGGAGCUGGGCGAACAAGCAGCACCGCUGGUCCAAGAAAGGGAAG